UACAGAGGCUGCAAGCGUUAUUCGGAUUCACUGGGCGUAAAGGGUGCGCAGGCGGCCAAGUGUGUUAGGCGUGAAAGCCCGGGGCUUAACCUCGGAAUUGCACCUAAAACUACAUGGCUAGAGCAUUGGAGAGGGUAGCGGAAUUCACGGUGUAGCAGUGAAAUGCGUAGAUAUCGUGAGGAACACCAGAGGCGAAGGCGGCUAUCUGGACAAUUGCUGACGCUCAGGCACGAAAGCGUGGGGAGCAAAAGGG
rnacentral:rRNA from 1 species